rnacentral:rRNA from 1 species
AUGCUCAGCGAGGGGACAGGCGCCGACGUCACGUUCCGCGUGGGCGGUCGGGAGUUUCGCGCGCACCGGUUCCUCCUGGCCGCGCGGUCGCCGGUCUUCGGAGCACAGCUCUUUGGCCCCAUGCCGAAGAAGGGCACGCGGCGCGUCGUCGAGGUCGUCGGCGUGGAGCCGGCCAUCUUCCAGAUGCUCCUUCACUACGUCUACACGGGGUCGCUACCGGUGUGCCGCGACGAAGGUGGGUAUGACGCCAUGGUGAUGGAGCCCUGCUGGUCGCCGCAGGCAAGUAUGGGCCGGAAAAGUUGA